UCGGAUCUCUCUCCCUCGACCUCUCUCGGAUCUCCUUCAUCCCCGCCACCGUCGACAUCGUCCGCGAUCUCACAGGCUCCGAUGAAGGCCUCCGCCCUCUCUCCUCCCGCUCCGACCGCCUCCUUCCCCCUCUCUCCCGCCUCCUCCGAGAUCCAGCGGAGCUCUCCGCUCCCGCGGCCGAAGCUCUGAUCAAUCUCUCCCAGGAUCAUGGGAUUGCGGAGGAGCUUGUGUCCAUUGGAACCGUGAGUACUGCAAUGGAUGUGAUGUAUAAGGUUGGGGAUCUUAAAGUUGUGAGGUUGAUGGUGAUGUUGUUGGCCAAUUUGACUCAAUUGGAUUCUGGAGCUAGGUCUCUUCUUCAGGGUUUUGGGUGUGUAUUGAUGAAGCUAGUUCUGUAAUAUUGAGAAGAAGAGGGUUUUGGGAUGAAUAGUGCUUUCAGCGAGCAGAUACUGGCGGAUAAGCUCUCGAAGCUCAAUAGCACUCAGCAAUGUAUUGAAAUUGUUUCUUGGUGUCCGAAAAAUUUGAACAACUGGUGGCAUCACUAACUUCUGCGAGGGUCUCUCAUGCAUGCUCUUAAGUCCUGUAGUUAAUCUAUGCUUGGGUGGUCAUAUGUCUUCGUGUCUGGGGUAAUGUCAUUUGCUGGAGUUGCAAUCUCCUUCCUUUUGUGUUCAAUUUCCUUUUUUGUAACAAUGA